CGGAACUACAGACAGUGUUAACCUACCACCAUGAAUUGCAAUUAUGAAUUGCACUCUACUGGAAUGGUAAAUGACAUAUAAACUACCCUACAUACCAUGAAUGCGCUGACUACCACUGCACCUAUAUUUCACCCAUCUGACAGGCGAUAUCGGACGCCUUACACACGCAGGGCCCUCGUCUGUUAUAGCAGCGAGAGAUUCCAGAUUACUGAUCACUGAACUCUGAAUGUCUAGCUCGUUUUCCAGCUGCUCUAUGGGUGUUCCUGAUGUGUUUGUUCCGGCAUGGCCGAUUCCCCUGGACCCCGCUCGCUCAUGGCAGUCACUAAUGCGUUAAGGAUAAUGUUUACCAUUGGAAAACGUGCUCAACUUGUUUCCAUUGAGGUGCUUCCGAUGACUGAAAUAACAAAGGGUCACGUCCGAGGGAUCAGAGGUCUCCGCUCAACAAUUAGUAGGCUAUUGUAGAUACUUUCAGAAGUGAUGGUAUUUGAAAAGCAUUUUGGUGUACUAAUAUUAUACAAAUAUUAUACAGCCCCAUUCGGACCAUGUAUGGUGCAAUGUUGAUCAAGAUUUGAAGUAGUUUAUUUAUGAUUUAUAAAACUAGCCUUUUGGAUUAUGAGCAAACCAGCUUCAAGUGCGAAUUCCCCGGGGGCGCGAGUGCAUUGGGGCCAACUCAAAGCCUCAAGGGAAUUUGCGUGCCAUCCAUUCCAUCUCCUUAACGUUCUAAUAAGAAUAGCUAAGUGUCUAGUGAUGGGACUUCGAGUCCCUUGUCUGUUUAGCUCUGUUCUUUCUGUUCACACGUUUUGUCUAACUUAAUCUUAUCGCAGUGAGACGUAUAUCUGAAGGGUUAAUUGGGCAUUGACAGAUAAGUGUUAACAAGGUGUGUAGGGGAAUGUGAAAUAGAUACAUGUACGGUCUUUAGACUGCCUACAGAGAUAAUAAUGAUCGUGUUUCAUCAGUGAGAUUUAGGCUAAAAUGUAUUUACAGCCCAAGCGAUAUUAGGACUAGGACUACAUCAGAUUAGGCUAUUAUUGUUAUUGUUCUUGGUUGUAUUUUUAUUGUUAUCGGUAGGCAAUAAAAUAUGUAUUUUUAUAUA